CUCGGUGGAAGAUUACUAAUGAGAGUGGCGAACGGGUGAGUAACGCGUGAGCAACCUGCCUAUGACAGUGGGAUAGCCUCGGGAAACCGGGAUUAAUACCGCAUAAAAUCGUAGAAACACAUGUUUCAACGGUCAAAGAUUUAUCGGUCAUAGAUGGGCUCGCGUCUGAUUAGCUAGUUGGUGAGAUAACAGCCCACCAAGGCGACGAUCAGUAGCCGGUCUGAGAGGAUGAACGGCCACAUUGGAACUGAGACACGGUCCAAACUCCUACGGGAGGCAGCAGUGGGGAAUAUUGCACAAUGGGGGAAACCCUGAUGCAGCGACGCCGCGUGAACGAAGAAGGUAUUCGUAUCGUAAAGUUCUGUCCUAUGGGAAGAUAAUGACAGUACCAUAGAAGAAAGCUCCGGCUAAAUACGUGCCAGCAGCCGCGGUAAUACGUAUGGAGCGAGCGUUGUCCGGAAUUAUUGGGCGUAAAGGGUACGCAGGCGGUUUAAUAAGUCGAAUGUUAAAGAUCGGGGCUCAACCCCGUAAAGCAUUGGAAACUGAUAAACUUGAGUAGUGGAGAGGAAAGUGGAAUUCCUAGUGUAGUGGUGAAAUACGUAGAUAUUAGGAGGAAUACCAGUAGCGAAGGCGACUUUCUGGACACAAACUGACGCUGAGGUACGAAAGCGUGGGGAGCAAACAGGAUUAGAUACCCUGGUAGUCCACGCCGUAACGAUGAAUGCUAGGUGUUGGGGGUCAAACCUCGUGCCGAAGUUAACACAUUAAGCAUUCCGCC
rnacentral:rRNA from 1 species